rnacentral:rRNA from 1 species
GACGAACGCUGGCGGCGUGCUUAACACAUGCAAGUCGAACGGAGUGGCGAACGGGUGAGUAACACGUGGGUGACCUGCCCUGCACUUCGGGAUAAGCACGGGAAACUGGGUCUAAUAACGGAUAGUGUGGGAUGGGCCCGCGGCCGAUCAGGUUGUUGGUGGGGUGGUGGCGUACCACGGCGGCGACGGGUAGCCGGCCUGAUAGGGGGGACGGCCACAUGGGGCCUGAGACACGGCCCAGACUCCUACGGGAGGCAGCAGUGGGGAAUAUUGCACAAUGGGCGGAAGCCUGGUGCAGCGACGCUGCGGGGGGGAUGACGGCCUUCGGGUUGUAAACUCCUUUCACCAUCGACGCGGUAGAUGGAGAAGAAGCACCGGCUAACUACGUGCCAGCAGCCGCGGUAAUAC